GACGAACCGUGCGAACGUUAUUCGGAAUCACUGGGCUUAAAGCGCGUGUAGGCGGAUCGCCGCGUCGGCUGCUGAAAUCCCCCGGCUCAACCGGGGAACGGGCACCGAUACGGGCGGUCUCGAGGGGGGUAGGGGGGUCUGGAACUUCCGGUGGAGCGGUGCAAUGCGUUGAGAUCGGCAGGAACGCCCGUGGCGAAGGCGAGGCCCUGGCCCCUUACUGUCGCUGAGCCGCGAAAGCCAGGGGAGCGAACGGG
rnacentral:rRNA from 1 species